rnacentral:lncRNA from 1 species
UCCUAGAACAGACAAGGUACAGUGACAAAUAUUUCAUGUAUAUUUUGAACACGGAGAGGGUGCCCCGAGCGUAUCAUUGUCACUUUGCUUAGUUUAAUUUGUUACCUUAUCUGACAUCGGACUCGGACUUCUUUUAAGCUGAGUUUUACUAUGCGUAAUUUAUGUUGUUCUUUAUUUUACAUUGGCUAGAGGUAUAGGGAAGGGUUGAGAUCUCUCAAAACUUAUUUAACCCCAACGCAUUUUUGCGCCUGUCUC